AAUAGAUACCCCGGUAGUCCACGCCGUAAACGAUGAGUGCUAAGUGUUAGAGGGUUUCCGCCCUUUAGUGCUGCAGCAAACGCAUUAAGCACUCCGCCUGGGGAGUACGGUCGCAAGACUGAAACUCAAAGGAAUUGACGGGGGCCCGCACAAGCGGUGGAGCAUGUGGUUUAAUUCGAAGCAACGCGAAGAACCUUACCAGGUCUUGACAUCCUUCGCUACUUCUAGAGAUAGAAGGUUCCCCUUCGGGGGACGGAGUGACAGGUGGUGCAUGGUUGUCGUCAGCUCGUGUCGUGAGAUGUUGGGUUAAGUCCCGCAACGAGCGCAACCCUUGACCUUAGUUGCCAGCAUUUAGUUGGGCACUCUAAGGUGACUGCCGGUGACAAACCGGAGGAAGGUGGGGAUGACGUCAAAUCAUCAUGCCCCUUAUGACCUGGGCUACACACGUGCUACAAUGGAUGGUACAAAGGGCUGCAAGACUGCGAAGUCAAGCCAAUCCCAUAAAGCCAUUCUCAGUUCGGAUUGCAGG
rnacentral:rRNA from 1 species